rnacentral:rRNA from 1 species
GACGAACGCUGGCGGCGUGCCUAAUACAUGCAAGUAGAACGCUGAAGAGAGGAGCUUGCUCUUCUUGGAUGAGUUGCGAACGGGUGAGUAACGCGUAGGUAACCUGCCUUGUAGCGGGGGAUAACUAUUGGAAACGAUAUCUAAUACCGCAUAACAAUGGAUGACACAUGUCAUUUAUUUGAAAGGGGCAAUUGCUCCACUACAAGAUGGACCUGCGUUGUAUUAGCUAGUAGGUGAGGUAAUGGCUCACCUAGGCGACGAUACAUAGCCGACCUGAGAGGGUGAUCGGCCACACUGGGACUGAGACACGGCCCAGACUCCUACGGGAGGCAGCAGUAGGGAAUCUUCGGCAAUGGGGGCAACCCUGACCGAGCAACGCCGCGUGAGUGAAGAAGGUUUUCGGAUCGUAAAGCUCUGUUGUAAGUCAAGAACGGGUGUGAGAGUGGAAAGUUCACACUGUGACGGUAGCUUACCAGAAAGGGACGGCUAACUACGUG